rnacentral:lncRNA from 1 species
GGUGCAGUCCAGCUCCACGGUCGCGCGUCCCACAGCUCCCUUCACGUCCGUUCCUCCGUUUCCCCACCUUGGGAGGGCCAGGACUUCCGAGGCUUUAGGGGGCAGGAAGCUGCGAGAAGGUGGCGCUUGCUUAGGUGAGGCGCGGAGGAUGGUAUUAGAGAGAGGAACGUGACUGGAAGCUCCCUGGCCAUGGACGAUCGCUGGGUUCUAGGCGCCUGCUCGCCCCAGCGGUUGACGGUCACGUGAUACCCCCCAGUGUACCUUUCCUGCAGCGUGUUACGUGGCGCACAGAGAACGUCGCUUCCAGAGGACCGUUUUUUCGUAACUGGCAGUAGUAAUCUGGCGGUUGACACUCUCGUUGCCUGUAUAGGCUGAUGGCCCACUCACCUUUUUAGCUGGGCUCCUGACCUGUCCGGCCAGAAAGUUGCCACUGGGAAACCUGGACCCCUACUGAAUGGAUCUGCUGGCACCUAGACCUCAGAGAAGGGGGAACUGAAGACUGAAGUCUGACCACUGUUCUUUGUUGAAAAUUUCUUUCUCAGGGGCUUGGAGGGAUCACAUCUACAAUCCUGAGCUAAUAUUCUCUUCUGCUGUCCCCAAAAUUUAAACGAAGCUUCUCUUAACCCAUUGCAAAUGAGAAAAAUCUUUGAAUCUACCUAUGACUAUAAGCCCUUAUUUCAAGAUAUCCUGCCUUUUUAGGCCAGAACCAAAGUGUAACCUCCAUCUAUUGAUUUACAAUUUUGCCUGUAACUUUGGCUUUCCUGAAAUUUACCCCAGCCUUAAAAAAAAAAAAGAACAGAAAAAGAAAACUGCAAGGCAUCAGGGAGGUCAGAAUUUGGGCAUGAGCUGCCUGAUCCUCCUUGCUUUGCAUCUUUGCAAAUAGAUGCCUUCAGCUGUGCAUGAUGGCUCACACCUCUCAUCCCAGCACUUUGGGAGGGCAAGGCGGGAGGAUUGCUCCAUCCCAGGAGUUCGAGAUCAGGGGCAAAAUGCCGAAACCCUGUCUCUACAAAAAAUUAAAAAAUUAGCUGGGCAUGAUGGUGCACUUCUGUAGUCCCAGCUACUUGGGAGGCUGAGGCAGGGGGAUUGCUUGAGCCCAAGAGGUUGAGGCUACAUGAGCCAUCAUCGUGCCACUGCACUCCAGCCUGGGAAACAGAAUGAGACCCUGUCUCAAAACAAAACAUUUGAAAAAUAACAAGUUCAGGUGCAGUGGCUCAUACCUGUAAUCCCAGCACUUUGGGAGGCCAAAGUGGUCGGAUCACUUGAGGCCAGGAGUUCAUGACCAGCCUGGCCAACAUGGCAAAACCCCAUCUCUACUAAAAAUACAAAAAUUAGCUGGGUGUGGUGGCUGGCAACUCUAGUCCCAGCUACUCCGGAGGCUGAGGCAGGAAAAUCACUUGAACCCAGGAGGCGGAGGUUGAAGUGAGCCGAGAUCACACCACUGCACUCCAGCCUGGGCAACAGAGCAAGACUCUGUCUCCAAAAAUAACAAAAAAUAAAUACAUGCCUUCCUUUCUACUGCUGCACAACCUCACUGUGUCAGGCAGGCUGGAGUGCAAUGGUGCGAUCUCGGCUCACUGCAACCUCGGCUCUCUGCAACCUCUGCCUCCUGGGUUCAAGUGAUUCUUCUGCCUCAGACUCCCAAGUAGCUGGGAUUACAGGCAUGUGCUACCACUCCCGGAUUAUUUUCUAUUUUUAGUACAGACCAGGUUUCUCCAUGUUGGUCAGACUGGUCUCAAACUCCCUACCUCAAGUGAUCUGCCCACCUCGGCCUCCCAAAGUGCUGGGAUUAAAGGCGUGAGUCACCACCCCUGGCCUUAUAGUUUAUCUUCUAGUGGUCUUCUAUCCUCAUUUGAAAAUGUGAAAAGUGGGUACCUGAGAUAAUUCACCGACUCAUUGUUUCUUGGAACCACAAUUGAUCUCAGAAGUGUAACCCUGUACUACUGAGAAGCUUAAUCAAGGACAAAUACAAUCCCCUCACUCCACAGAUGGCUGACAUGAUGGUCUGUGACCUGAAAGUUGUUGAAUAGUUGGAGUGUUCUGCAUUCAUGUGGAAGAGGCUAAAGGAUGUUUGAUGAAGCACUAUGGGCUGCCCUGGAAGAGGACUGAAGAAGCAGCUGCAGGAAAGAAACGUCCACUCUGCUCCAGUCAACCCCACUGCUGGUGUCCUCUGCACUGCCUUGCACUCCCUGAAGAGAGCCUGGGCAACAGAGCGAGACUCCAUCUCAAAAAAAAAAAAAAAAAAAAUUGGGGACUAUGUAUAUAGAUUUACUACACUGAAGCCCUCCAGCAGUCUAAGAACUGAUGCCUCUAACGAAGGAAAGGACUGCAUGUUUCUGAUGAAGCUACCAUGACCUACCAGAUUUCCAACGCCUGCCAAAAUUAAUCUAUUUGUCUGUGGUAGAAGAGGCCAUACCAUUGUGGCCCUUGAAACUUACUGUAUGAUGUUUUAUUUAGUGAACAGUUCACAUACCCAAAUGGUUGUAACUGAUACUGCUGAAUAUAUUGUAAGAACAGAAGUGUUAAGUAUGUAUAACACUUCUUUUGAUUGUAAGGAAUGUUCCCAGUGGGGAAAUGCCAUAAUUAAAACAGUGAUCGUGGGAUGAAUACAUGAUUAAGAGCUUACCUUCAUAAUAGUAAAACAGUACAGGAUGCCAGAAGGAAGGGAGGAGAGGGGAUAAUACUACUAUACUGAUGAAGUAGCUAGAAGAAAGAGGAGUGCUUAAGGAAACUAUCCAGCAGGCUAUUCAGACUGACCUCUCAUUUGGAACAGUUCUAAUGAGCCUUUUCAGCUACAAGUGAUGGUGACUGACAGUUACACUGAUUGGAGCCUGUGGCAAUAGGCAGUAAGUGCCAUUUAGGGUUUUGGGCACAGCAUUUGCCUGACACCGCUGCCUGGUAUACUCCAUUUAAGCAGCAAUUGUUGGCUUGUUAGUGAGUGCUUUUGGACACUUAGACACUAACAAAGAAAGCAUCAGCAGGUAUUGUUAUAUUCUGACAUGUCCAUUCUUGGAUGGAUCAAAAAUGAAAACAUCAACAAAGAAGGUAAUGCUCAGCGAGCAUCCAUUAUUUAAUGGAAAUGGUAUAUCCAAGAAAGAAGUAAACUGGACAUAUUAUUAUUAUUGUUAUUAUUAUUAUUAUUUUUGAGACGGAUACUUGUUCUGUCGCCCAGGCUGGAGUGCAGUGGCACGAUCUCGGCUCACUGCAACCUCUGUCUCCCAGGUUCAAGCCAUUCUCCUGCCUCAGCCUCCCGAGCAGCUGGUACUACAGGCACGCACCACAACGCCCAGCUAAUUUUUGUAUUUUUAGUAGAGAUGGGGUUUCACCAUGUUGUACAGGAUGAUCUCGAUCUCUUGACCUCGUGAUCUGCCCACCUCGGCCUCCCAAAGUGCUGGGAUUAUAGGUGUGAGCCACAGUGUCCGGCCUCUGGGUGUAUUACUUUCUUAUUGCCACUAUUACAAAUUUAGUGACUUAAAAUGACAUAAAUUUAUUGUCUUGCAGUUCUGAAAGAAGUCCAAAAUGAGUUUCACUGGGCUGAAAUCAAGGUGUUGGCAGGACUGCACUCCCUCCAGAGGCUCUGGGGGAGGAUCGGUUUCCUUGCCUUUUCCAGUUUCUAGAGGCUCUCCUCAUUCCUUGGGUCAUGACACCUUCCUCACAUUGUUUCAAUCUCUUGCUUUCAUCAUCACAUCUCCUACUUCCUCUUCUGGAGUCAAAUCUCUCUCUGCCUUUUUGUUUUAAAAAAUCUAAUGUGAUCCCCUUAUCCUUGAGGGAGAUCGAGGCCGAGGCCACUGUGACAAUGUUCCACCAGGUAGCAUGUUGCAGGGGUAGAGCGCAGUGUGUUUGGAGAUGGUGCAGGAGGGACGACUUUAACUUGCAGCAACUGAGGGUGAACACAUUGGGCUCUUGCUGGAGUGCAUCUAGUGUGUGUGUGUGUGUCUUUCUCUGUUUCCACUCGAGUAUCAGAGACUUGCUUAUAACCUUUAUGAUAUUUUUCUGGAUAGUGGUAAUUGCCUUGUAUAAUGUUUCUUUUGCUGAAUAAUUUUCCAUCUUCUCUGUCGUAUGUCACAGAUUCUCUCUUUUUUAUUUUUAUUUUUAUUUUUUGAGAUGGAGUUUUGCUCUUGUUGCCCAGGCUGGAGUGCAAUGGCACGAUCUUGGCUCACUGCAACCUCUGUCUCCCCGGAUCAAGCAAUUCUCCUGCCUCAGCCUCCCAAGUAGCUGGGAUUACAGGCACCUGCCACCACAUCUGGCUACUUUUAAAAAUAUUUUUAGUAGAGAUUGGGUUUCUUUCUUUUCUUUUCUUUUCUUUUCUUUUUUUUUUUUUUUUGAGACAGAGUCUGGAUCUGUUGCCCAGGCUGGAGUGCAGUGGUGCGAUCUCGGCUCACUGCAACCUCCACCUCCGUGGUUCAAGCAAUUCCCCUGCUUCAGCCUCCCAAGUAGCUGGGAUUACAGGCAACUGCCACCACACCUAGCUACUUUAAAAAAUAUUUUUAGUAGAGAUGGGGUUUCUUUCUUUUCUUUUCUUUCUUUAUUUUUUUUUUUUUGAGACAGAGUCUCGAUCUGUUGCCCAGGCUGGAGUGCAGUGGCGCGAUCUCGGCUCACUGCAACCUCCACCUCCCUGGUUCAAGCAAUUCCCCUGCUUCAGCCUCCCAAGUAGCUGGGAUUACAGGUGCACACCACCACACCUAGCUAAUUUUUUUAUAUAUUUAAUGGAGAUGGGGUUUCGCCGUCGCGGCCAGACUGGUCUCAAACUCCUCAGGCAAUCCGCCUGCCUCAGCCUCCCAAAGUGCUGGGAUUACAGGCGUGAGCCACCACAACCGGCCAGAUUCUCUUUUUAAAACUGGUCAGCCCCUCAAACCAGAAUAGGUUCAGAGAGACUUCCGAGAUUCUCUAUUUGUCUGAAGUGUAAAUGUUUUGAAGGUUUUCUCGACUGACUCAAUGUGAUCAAGAAUCUCUAAUAGUUUGUGUCCCCCUGACACUGCUCGCUCAGUCAGUCCCACUGUCAGCAAGUUCUCUUUCCCUGUCCUUCUGGCCAGCUAAGUCAGUGAUGACACAUCUGGCUAUCACCAGCUCAAAGCUGUCUCCUCAACCACUUUUACCAGGGAAUGAAUGCUUCAAGACCACAGUGCUCUCCUGCCUUGGAAACACCUUCGCCUUCCUCCGCUUCUCUUUGGCUACCAUGGUCACCCUCCACACUGCUUUCCUCAACUCUCGGGCAGGUGGUCCCAUCAAUACCUCCUCCUCCUCCAAGGUUACCUCCCAAGGUGCCAUUCAUCACUGACAAUCAUGUUUGCACUACUAAAAGAAUUGCCUUAAUCUUUUUAUCCAUUUUUGGGUUUUUGGGGGUUUUCUUGAGACGGAGUCUUGCUCUGUCUCCUAGGCUGGAGUGCAGUGGCUCAAUCUGGGCUCACUGCAAGCUUUGCCUCCCAGGUUCAAGCAAUUCUCCUCCUUCAGCCUCCUGAGUAGCUGGGAUUACAGGCAUACGCCACCACGCCUGGCUAAUUUUGUAUUUUUAGUAGAGAUAGGAUUUCGCCAUGUUGGCCAGGCUGGUCUCAAACUCCUGACCUCAUGUGGUCCUCCUGCCUCAACCUCCCAAAGUGCUGGGAUUAUAGGCAUGAGCCACUGCAUCUGGCCCGAUUCUUUAUAUUUGUAAAAAGCGUACUGUACUUCAAUAUAUUCAAAAUUAGACUAUUAUUUAGAAGUAUAUCAAUUUGCAGCCAGGGCAGUGGCUCACGCCUGUCCUUUACACAUAUAAGAUGGUAAUACACGGCCGGGCACAGUGGCUUGUGCCUGUAAUCCCAGAACUUUGGAAGGCCGAGGUGGGUGGAUCACCUGAGGUCAGGAGUUCGAGACCAGACUGGCCAACAUGGAGAAACCCCGUCUCUACUAAAAAUACAAAAAUUAGCCAGGUGUGGUGGUGGGCUCCUGUAAUCCCAGCUACUUGGGAGGCUGAGGCAGGAGAAUCCCUUGAACCUGCGAGGUAGAGGUUGUAGUGAGCCGAAAUUGCACCAUUGCACUCUAGCCUGGGCAACAAGAGCGAAACUUUGUAUCAUUAAAUAAAUAAAUAAAAGGAAAGGCCGGCGCGGUGGCUCAUGCCUGUAGUCCCAGCACUUUGGGAGGCCGAGGCGGGCAGAUCACGAGGUCAGGAGAUUGAGACCAUCCUGGCUAACACGGUGAAACUCAGUCUCUACUAAAAUAAAAAAAAAACUUGUACUAGUGUUGUAACUUUCCAAGUAAAAGUAUCCCUAAAGGCCACUUCCUAUCUGAUUUUUCCCAGUAAAUGAGGCAGGCAAUUCUAAGAUCUUCCACAAAACAUCUAGCCAUCUAAAAUGGAGAGAUGAAUCAUUCUACCUAUACAAACAAGCUAGCUAUUAGAGGGUGGUUGGGGUAUGCUACUCAUAAGAUUUCAGGGUGUCUUCCAACUGAAAUCUCAAUGUUCUCAGUAUGAAAAACCUGAAAUCACAUGCCUAUGUAAGGAAAGUGCUAUUCACCCAGUAAACCCCAAAAAGCAAAUGGAUAAUGCUGGCCAUUUUGCCUUUCUGACAUUUCCUUGGGAAUCUGCAAGAACCUCCCCUUUCCCCUCCCCCAAUAAGACCGUUUAAGUGUGUGUUAAACCACUACAGAAUACUAAAUAAAAAGUUUGGCCAAAACCAACCAUGAAGCUGCAAAAAAAAAAAAAAAAAAAAAAAAAAAAGUGUUAUACACUUGUAAUUUUAUGAAUGCUAUGGGAACCAUCCCAAUCAGGGACAGCUGCAAAGAAAAAGUGUUAGUGGGAUACAUAAAUAAUUGCUUCUUGCCAUUGGUGGGUGGGUUCGUAUUUAAAUUCUCUGAGUAUUAAAAACCAAGUAUUCUUGGCCGGAUGUGGUGGCUCACGCCUGUAAUCCCAGCACUUUGGGAGGCCAAGGCGGGUGGAUCACAAGGUCAGGAGUUUGAGACCAGCCUGGCCAACAUGGUGAAACUCUGUCUUUACUAAAAGUACAAAAAUUAGCUGGGCACAGUGGAACGCGCCUGAAAUCCCCACUACUCAGGAGGCUGAGGCAGGAGAAUUGCUUAAACUCAGGAGGCAGAGGUUUCAGUGAACUGAGAUCACGCCACUGCACUCCAGCCCGGGCAAGCAAGACUCCUACUCUGAAAAAACAAACAAACAAAAAACGAAGUAUUCUUGGCCGGGCUCAGUGGCUCAUGCCUGUAAUACCAGCACUUUGGGAGGCAGAGGCGGGCGGAUCACGAGGUCAGGAGUUCGAGACCAGCCUGACCAACAUGGGGAAACCCCAUCUCUACUAAAAAUUACAAAAAUUAGCCAGGGAUGGUGGCGCAUGCCUAUAAUCCCAGCUACUCAGGAGGCUGAGGCAGGAGAAUCGCCUGAACCCGGGAAGCAGAGGUUGCAGUGAGCCAAGAUUGUACCACCACACUCCAGCCUAGGUGACAGAGCGAGACUCCAU